UUUCUAUGGUCAGAAGGAUGUCGUAAAUUAAAUGCAAGGAUCUGAUCCUGACUGCAUAAAGUGUGGACGCUGCUUUCAUUGCCCAAGAAUUCAGCGCAAACAUCACCGCUUUUUACAGUCAUCUAACAGCGUAAACAGGGAAACAAACACCUGCAAUAAAACCAACUACUCCAUUAACACCAGCUAACCACCCAGUCAAGAGA